GUGAAGCUGGAUUCGCUAGUAAUCGCGCAUCAGCCAUGGCGCGGUGAAUACGUUCCCGGGCCUUGUACACACCGCCCGUCAAGCCAUGGGAGCCGGGAGCGCUUGAAGUGCGUCGCCGCGAGGCGCGCCCUAGAGCGAGACCGGUGACUGGGGCUAAGUCGUAACAAGGUAAC
rnacentral:rRNA from 1 species